rnacentral:rRNA from 1 species
CAUGCAAGUCGAACGGUAACAGGUUAAGCUGACGAGUGGCGAACGGGUGAGUAAUGUAUCGGAACGUGCCCAGUCGUGGGGGAUAACUGCUCGAAAGAGCAGCUAAUACCGCAUACGACCUGAGGGUGAAAGCGGGGGAUCGCAAGACCUCGCGCGAUUGGAGCGGCCGAUAUCAGAUUAGGUAGUUGGUGGGGUAAAGGCUCACCAAGCCAACGAUCUGUAGCUGGUCUGAGAGGACGACCAGCCACACUGGGACUGAGACACGGCCCAGACUCCUACGGGAGGCAGCAGUGGGGAAUUUUGGACAAUGGGCGCAAGCCUGAUCCAGCCAUGCCGCGUGCGGGAAGAAGGCCUUCGGGUUGUAAACCGCUUUUGUCAGGGAAGAAAAGGUUCUGGCUAAUACCUGGGACUCAUGACGGUACCUGAAGAAUAGGCACCGGCUAACUACGUGCCAGCAGCCGCGGUAAUACGUAGGGUGCAAGCGUUAAUCGGAAUUACUGGGCGUAAAGCGUGCGCAGGCGGUUAUGCAAGACAGAGGUGAAAUCCCCGGGCUCAACCUGGGAACUGCCUUUGUGACUGCAUAGCUAGAGUGCGGCAGAGGGGGAUGGAAUUCCGCGUGUAGCAGUGAAAUGCGUAGAUAUGCGGAGGAACACCGAUGGCGAAGGCA